rnacentral:rRNA from 1 species
AAUGAACGUUGGCGGCGUGGAUUAGGCAUGCAAGUCGUGCGGAAAGGCUCCUUCGGGAGUACUCGAGCGGCGUAAGGAAGAGUAACGCGUGGAUAUCUACCCCCUGGACUGGGAUAGCGGCGGGAAACUGCCGGUAAUACCAGAUAAUGUCUGCGGACCAAAGGUGUGAUUCCGCCGGGGGAUGAGUUCGCGUCCUAUUAGCUAGUUGGUAGGGUAAUGGCCUACCAAGGCAAAGAUGGGUACCGGGUGUGAGAGCAUGGCCCGGCUCACUGGGACUGAGACACGGCCCAGACACCGACGGGUGGCUGCAGUCGAGAAUCUUCGGCAAUGGGCGCAAGCCUGACCGAGCGACGCCGCGUGCGGGAUGAAGGCCUUCGGGUUGUAAACCGCUGUCAGAGGGGAGGAAAUGCGUGGGAGUUCUCUCUCACGUUUGACCUAUCCUCAGAGGAAGUACGGGCUAAGUUCGUGCCAGCAGCCGCAGUAAUAC